UAGCAAAGUCCGUCCAUGGUGUGCUACUCUCCCUCACCACUGCCCGUCGGUGGCAUGAAACCGGCCGAUUUCUGGAUCUGAGGUUCGGAUCCCAAGCAGAGCACAAUCGUUCGUCGUCUUGGCUUUCCUGACGCACGUCCAGCGCCAGGCGGGACCUCCGUUGGGCAUUUCCUUGCGAACGUUCGCUUCGCAAGCUAGUCGCCCGAUCCAUCGGCCCAGCGCCACUGGGCCCCUGCUGCGUGGCCUGGGCUUCCGGCGAGCGGAAUGAGCCUGUGGGCAAGCGGCUUAACGGGCCUCCGCCCAGCACAGCACAAUCUGGACGGCCCGCCUAGGGCGCCAAAACCCUAGGCGAGCGGGCUAUAAAACCCAGGGCGAGGGCCACGCGGGCGCCACGCUCCCCCGCCGCCGCCGCCGCCGCCUCGAUCUAUCGCCGCCGACGCCAAGGUGUCCCAUCAUCAAUGGCGAUCGGAGGAGAGGCUGGGGAUUCGUCUGGAGUGGACCGCACCGACACCUAUGGAUCCGGCCAAGGCGAGCAGGUGUUACCACCACCCUCUGGCAAGCUGGCUCGCUUGCUGAUGGGGCUCCUGCCUCAGCUCCUUCAGGGAUCUCCAGGGUACCCAUCUUUCUACUGAUGAAUGCAUGUUUGUGAUGUUAAUGUUUUUAAUAAUGCAGCUGAUGUACCUUUUUAUGUGCAUGCUGUUACAUUUGUGCUGUUUCGUGGUCAUUUACAAGGCUUGAUUACCUUCCCAAUCUGAAUUAGUUGCUUGACAAUUGUCCAUGCUCUUCACAUGAUACCCUUCUGAAUCUUAAAUGCAUGCUGUGAGCUCCUAAUCUUUUAUAAUCAUAGCCAGUGCCCUUUGCAUUCAUCUCCUACAAAUUGCUUUUUAUGCAACAUGUUAGAUGUCAUCUUUCUCUGUGAUGCAUGCUGUGUCA